GUCUCUCAGACGCUACCGAACGCCGGUACGGUGCUGCUGUACGGUUUGCGCUCUUCAUUCAUUAUUCGCCGUCCACCUUUGCUAAUAGAGAAAGAAGGAGAUACACGGAGUAGUCCUCGCGAUUGUCCUCGCGAUUGUCCUCGCGAUUGUCCUCGCGAUUGUCCUCGCGAUUGUCCUCGCGACUGUCCCUUUUAUUUCUUUUUUUUUUUUAUUCUUUCUAUCGUUACCGAUACAACUGACGUUUCUUACAACUGUCACACACGUGGGGAUUAUAGAAAAAAGGAGAAAGGCUCUCUUCGUUUCGUCGUCAUGAGUUAUUGAAGAAAGCUUUCAGAGAAAGGAAUAGGUAGAUAGAUAGAUAGAUAGACAGAUAAGAGAUCGAGGAAUACUCUUUGGCUCUCGCCAAGAUGAAGAAGAACCGUGUUUUAUUAAGGAGUGCGUUGCUCUUCCUGCUGAUUGCCGCUGAUUUUCUACUCGUUGCUGCAUCCGAGAACGACGACUUGGUCUUUGAUCAAGAUGGUAAACAAUCAAGCCUGCAAAUUCCCUUGAUCGAGAAACACGAGGAGCAGUCGAUUUUUCACAGAAUAAAGAGAGCGAUUAGUAAUUUUUUCGAUUCUUCUACUACUACUCCUCCUAAUACUCCUAGUCCUUCUUCUUCCGGCAGUAGCGGCAACGCAUCUACUAAUAGCACUACUAAGACAUUGCCGACAGGAGAUAUCGAGAACAAUGAAGAGAAUAAGGGGAAUAAGGGUGUUUGGCCUGCCGACAAUUUCAACGAUAGCGACGUUUUCAACGCGCAAAAGAGCAACAACGAUCGACAUUUGGAGAGACUCAUUCGAGACAGCCAAGAGGAGUACGUCGACGAUAAGCAGGAGAACGAGAUUGGCGACGCGGCGGAGGGUCUUAGGGCUCCUCCACAGAAUUACGUAAAUUCCGACGACGAAGACCUCGUGGGAUCUGGAGAGAUCGAGGGUAGCGCCACGGAUUCGUACUAUUCUCCACCUGUCACGGGAAUCCCAAGAUCCGACGGAAAAGCCCGAUUUUACCGAAUUACCUUGACGGUUAACGAGCCAUACAGAAAGGAGUACGCCGAUAGAAACAGCAGAGAGUACAAGGAGCUAAGCGGUAAUUUAACACAACCUUUGGAAGAACUAUACGCUCGUCGUAUUCCCAAUUACGAUUUUAUGGCCAACGUCAUUAAAAUAUCACCAACGUCCGACACGUUUACGUCUCAAGUCACCCUCGACAUAGGCUCUACGUUUACGGACGAGUUGGAGGUACGGGAUAUCUUGGAAAAACAGUUGCAGUAUCAUUCUUUGGGAAGCAUCCAAGUCGGUCCGGAGGGAUUCACCUUCCGACGUUUCUUAGGGAAGGAAAGAGUAUUGCCGGAAUGCGACCAAUCGACCGAAUUAACGUGUAGAAACGGCAAAUGCGUGUCGUUAGAUUCGCGGUGCGACGGUGUCGAUCAAUGCCAGGAUGGAUCGGACGAGCUCGGUUGUCCUUCCAACGUCUCGACCCCGACUACGAAGCACGUUGUCGACGUUGUAGACGUUAGCGAAGAAGCAGAAUGGUCCUCGACUACGGAGAUUACGUCGGGAUUUGAGAAUCGGUUCCCAAUUGGGGAAGAAGAGGAGGAGGAGGAGGAGGAGGAGGAGGAAGAGGAAGAGGAAGAGGAAACAACGUUGAGAGGAGUCUCGAACAAAUGUCGUGCCGACGACGUCGUGCGCUGUCAGGACGGAAGCCGAUCCAUUUGUUCGGUACAAAGAUGCGACGGAGUACCGGAUUGCGAGGACGGAGCCGACGAAGUCGGAUGUCCACAUCCAGGUUGCAAGUUUGGCGAAUUCGCUUGCGACGUGCGGAGGUGCAUUUUGGAAUCUCAACGUUGCAACUUUGUUGAGGAUUGUCAAGACGGAAGCGACGAACACAAUUGCAAUUACCCCGCUUGUACUCCGAGCCAGUUCAAAUGCAAGAACGAAGAGUGCAUCGACGGAAGCAAACAUUGCGACGGAAUUCCGGAUUGUCGAGACAGAUCGGACGAGUACGAUUGUCCAUGCAAAGAAGACCAAUUUGAGUGCUCGGCCGGUUACUGCGUGGCCUUAUCUCGUCGAUGCGACGGAUUCGCCGAUUGUUCCAACGGAAAGGACGAACAGAAUUGUAUCCAUAAGACAAGAUGCCGAGAGGACGAAUUCGAAUGCGACAACGGUAGGAGGUGCGUUAGCAACAUGGCAAGAUGUAAUGGACGCAUAGACUGCGACGAUCGUACCGACGAAUAUAAUUGCACCGUGACGACUUGUAGCAGCGAUCAAUUCCGUUGCACCGACGGUACCUGUUUGAGCAUCGACAAAAGAUGCAACGGCAUGGACGAUUGUCGCAACGGCGAGGACGAAAAUCAAUGCGGUUGCAGAGAUGCGGAAUUUCGGUGCACGGACGGCCGAUGUAUAGGCUACGAGUUGCAGUGCAACGGGCUGAACGACUGUUCCGAUGGCUCAGAUGAGAGGGAUUGCGGUUUGGCCCCCUGCCCUUCCACGGACUUCACCUGCGGCGAUGGUUCUUGCAUACCGAAGAAUACGGUCUGCGACGGAUUCGACGACUGCCCGAGGGCAGAAGACGAGCUUAAUUGCGACCAGGAAUGUACGCCAACGCAGUUCAAAUGUCUCAGCGAGAACAAGUGCAUCGAGGGUAUCUACAGAUGCGACGGCCAUCCGGAUUGUCCAGAUCGCAGCGACGAGGACUGUGCUAACGAUACGAUUAAACAUACCAGCCUGCCUACGAACCGAACCUGGCAAGGAUGGGCAACGACGAGUAAGGAAACGAAGGAAUGCGAUCCUAAUCGUGAAAUGCGCUGCGACGAUGGCAAGUGCGUGCUUCUCAAACGUAAAUGUGACAAUAUCUUCGACUGUCUUGACGGUAGCGACGAGCGUGGUUGCGGAAUCUGCACGCCUGCCGAGUGGAAGUGCGCCAGUGGCGAAUGCUUGCCAGAAAACGAAAGAUGCGACGGGAUACGCAAUUGUGCCGAUGGAUCCGACGAAUCUGGAUGUGUCACUGAAUGUCCGCCUGGAAAGUUUCGAUGCAAGGACGGAUUGUGCCUCGACAGUAAGAAACGUUGCGAUGGACGAUCGCACUGCUUGGACGGCUCCGAUGAGAUCAAUUGCCAAUGCUUGGUUGGCAUGCGACCUUGCGACAACGGCGUUUGCAUCGACGAGAGAUUUUUCUGCGAUGGCAAUGUCGACUGUCUGGAUCAUAGCGAUGAACGCGAUUGCCCAACCACUGAAGCGACCAAUCAAGGAGGUUCUUCGAGGGAGGAAUGUCGCCACGAGGAAUUCACUUGCAACGAUGGAACUUGCAUACCUCGAGAUUACGUUUGCAACGGUCGACAGGAUUGUCGAGAGGGUGAGGACGAACGCAACUGUCCCUCUGAAGGAUGCGGACAAGAUCAAUUCCAAUGCAGAACCGGCGAUUGCAUUAGAAUCGACCAAAAGUGUGACAGACGUAUCGAUUGCGAAGACGGCUCGGACGAACCUGCCGAAUGUGAGACAACGCUCGAACCAGGACCGGGUGGUCAUCCUAUGCCAGGUCGUUGCCCUGCUGGUCAAUUCCAAUGCGUUCUAGACAGGGCCUGCGUUCCCAUCUCUUCCGUUUGCAACGGCAUUCCUGAAUGCAGAGAUGCCACCGACGAAGACAAUUGCGAUUACACCGAGGACUGUUCGUCGGACGAGUGGACAUGCGAGAAUGGUGGUUGCAUUUAUCUCUACCAACGUUGUAACCAAUUCGGCGAUUGUCCGUUCGACGAUAGCGACGAGAUUGGCUGCAAUUAUACGCUUACCGAGAAAAAUAAGACUAGAUGCGAGCCACACGAGUGGAAAUGCAAGAAUGGCCAGUGUAUACCGUUGUCUCGACGAUGCGACAAAAGGUUCGACUGUCCUACGGACAUGUCCGACGAAUACGACUGCAGUUACGAUUUGCGUCAAACCGGUGGAUCGAGCGGUCUCAACUUGAAAACUUAUCCGAGCGAGCAAGUGAUCAAAGAGAACCCGGCGAAGCAAGGCCGCGAGGUCGUCUUCCAAUGCCGUGACGAAGGUCCUCUGCGUGCAAGAGUACACUGGCUUCGUGAUAAUAAUCUUCCUCUGCCGCCUGCCAGUCGAGAUCUAAAUGGUAGAUUGGAAAUACCAAACAUUCAGCUCGAUCAUGCGGGAAUUUACAUUUGCGAAGCGGUGGGCUAUCCUCCAUCCACGCCAGGAAGUCGACUUACCGUAAAUCUCACUGUUGAAAAGUUCGAAGAACCCGCGACGAGGCCCCCACAAGUUUGUCAAUACGAUCAGGCAACUUGCAUCAAUGGAGAUUGCAUUCCUAAAUCGUACGUCUGCGAUGGAAAAUUCGACUGUACGGAUGGCUCUGACGAGAUGAGAUGCAGUCCACACGGAUGUGAACCCAACCAAUUUCGAUGUAACAACAAGCAAUGCGUGAGCAAACUUUGGCGUUGUGACGGCGAAAGAGAUUGUGCCGAUAACAGCGACGAAGAAAAUUGUGCACCGGCUCUACCUGGUUCGCGAUGCCGUUAUCACGAAUUCUCUUGUACAUCCUACGACCAAUGUAUACCAAAGAUUUAUCAUUGCGACAGAGAACGGGAUUGUCUCGAUGGUAGUGACGAGCUUGGCUGUUCUCCCGUCUACAUCAUCAAACCACCGCCGCCGAUGGUAGUCCUAGAACCAGGUAGCACCAUGGUACUCACGUGUACGGCUAUCGGUGUACCCAUUCCAGAGAUAAAUUGGCGACUAAAUUGGGGACACGUACACUCUAAAUGUACAACUACUUCCGUAAACGGAACCGGAACAUUAACGUGUCCCGACAUACAACGAGAAGACUCAGGUGCUUACUCCUGCGAAGCUUUGAAUUCAGCUGGCUUUGUAAUAGCUCAACCGGAUGCUAUGUUAGUGGUAAAAGAACCAAAAGGCAUUUGUCCCAAAGGAAUGUUCAACAAUGAGGCGCGUUCCCUCGAUGAAUGCAUAUCUUGCUUCUGCUUCGGUGUGGCUACCGAAUGUCGUAGCGCCAAUUUGUUCACUUAUCAGAUCCCACCUCCGUUCGAAAGUCACAAGAUCUUGUCGAUUCAAACCGAAUCGGAGAUACGCAUUUUCGGCGACAUCAAAGAUGAAAUAUCCGAGGUUAGACCUAUUGGACGAGACGGUAUUCGAUUGUUUGAAUCGUUGAGCAGCGAAAUGUCUAGCUACAAAAUACCCUACUAUGCCUUAUCCGAGAAUUAUCACGGUAGUCAAUUAAAGUCUUACGGUGGUUAUUUGACUUAUACGAUUAAUUACAAUGGUAACGGAGCACCUAACGACGCGCCAUCGGUCAUUCUUAGCGGUAACAAAUACAUACUCGUCCACAAAGGCAAACAUAUCCCUCCAGACUACGAGACGAAAGAAUCCGUCAGAUUUUUCUACGGCGAGUGGUACAAGCGUCAAGGUAGCAGCGAGGUCCUGGCAUCCAGAGAAGAAAUAAUGAUGACCCUGGCAAACGUCGACAAUAUUCUUAUCAAAGCAAAGUAUGAAAAUUCUCCACAAUUGGACGUGCGUAUAACCAACAUUGUUAUGGACACCGCCGAUGCGCGCAAUACCGGAUUAGGAUCCGCUAAUUAUGUGGAAGAGUGUCAAUGUCCUACCGGAUACACCGGUCUUUCGUGCGAGAACUGUGCAUCGGGAUAUCUUCGACGCGAGAGCGGACCAUGGCUUGGACAAUGUUACCGAGACGAGCCACCUUGCGCACCGGGAUACUACGGAGAUCCUUCGAGAAAUAUACCUUGCCAACUUUGUCCAUGUCCGCUCACCAAUCCAUCCAAUCAAUUUACUCGAAACUGUCAUCUCGGAUCGGACGGUGAGCCUACCUGCGAUUGUCCAGCCGGAUACGUUGGUCGAAGAUGCGAACAAUGUGCUAUUGGCUAUGAAGGAAAUCCUCUCAUUCCUGGAGAUAUGUGCGUACCCGUUGAACAAUGCGAUCCCGACGGUAGCAUCAGUCCUAACGCCGAUCCGUAUACUGGAAAAUGUCGUUGCAAGCAAUACGCAACGGGUCUAACGUGCGAUCAAUGCAAGGCAAAUACAUUCAGUUUGGGCUCUAGGAAUCAAUUCGGAUGCAUUAGUUGUUUCUGCAUGGGUAUUACGAAUAAAUGUGUAGCAUCUAACUGGUACAGAAACGAGAUUCACGUGUCAUUUACUAAUUCCCUACGAGGAUUUAGUCUUAUCGAAUCUAAGACUACAACCGACGCCCCACCAAUAGUAGAUGGUAUUCGACUUGAUACGAUCAGUCGCGAGAUAGUCUACAACGAUUUUCAUAAUCGUGGUAACAAUGACGUAUAUUAUUGGCAAUUACCAAAUAUUUUCCUCGGCGAUCAAAUAACGUCGUACGGUGGUAAUCUUAAAUAUACCGUUCGGUACGUUCCAUCUCCGGGUGGUCAAAGUUCCAAAAACAACGCUGCCGACGUUGAAUUAAUUAGCGCAAACGACAUUAAAUUGCUGUACUAUUCGAGAAAAUCCCCCGAACCAAAUUCCCAACAAUCGUUUACCGUUCCGUUGCUCGAACAAUACUGGCAACGUGCCGACGGAACAACAGCCGACAGGGAACAUCUUUUAAUGGCAUUAGCGGACGUACGAGCAAUCAAAAUUAAAGCAACUUAUACGACCCACACCGACGAGGCGGCACUUUCUUCGGUUUCCCUUGAUACGGCGGAAAAUCAUAAUACUGGAAAGGCAAGAGCCGUCGAAGUCGAGGAGUGCAGUUGUCCCACUGGAUACAAGGGACUCUCUUGCGAAGAUUGUGAUGUUGGAUAUACGAGAGCAAUGGAAGGUUUAUAUCUUGGAAUUUGCGAGCCUUGUAAUUGCAACGGACACUCGAAUCAGUGCGAUCCCGAAACCGGAAUGUGCGAGAAUUGCGCCCACCAUACUACCGGAGAAUUUUGCGAAAAAUGCGAACCUGGAUACAGAGGAGACGCGACUCGUGGCACUUCGAACGAUUGCGAGCGCGAGGAUCAGACAGCAUCGUGCCAGUGCAAUCCAGCUGGAUCUCGUAGCACCUUGUGUUACGGUAAUCGUUGCGAAUGUAAGAGAAACGUCGAAGGUCCGGAAUGCAACAGAUGUCUUCCGGGUACUUUUGGAUUGUCCGCCGAAAAUAUAGACGGCUGUAACGAAUGUUAUUGCAGCGGCGUGACCAAACAAUGUCACGAAAGUUCCCUCUACGUUCAGCAAAUACCAAUAGGGGUUUACGAUUCCCGUCAUGGAUUUACCCUUACCGAUGCCUCUAGGCAAGAAGUUAUAAACGAUGGUUUUGAUUUAAACGUUGCCAUGAACGAAAUUGGAUAUCGUUAUCCCGAUAAUCGUAGCCGUAGACUAUUUUGGUCUUUGCCGUCCACUUUCACCGGAAACCAAGUCAAAAGCUAUGGGGGUUAUUUAACUUUGACUCAGCAUAUCAGUGCACAACCCGGGGCGGAGAGUUAUAAAGAUCAAGACGUUUUACUCAUCGGAAAUGGUAUUACGUUGUUUUGGAUUAAUCCAACCGAUGUUUUACCGGAUUUACCUUUGACUUACUCGGUUCCACUGAGAGAAUCAGAAUGGAAACGGUUGACAACCGCAGGUCCACGUAGCGCGUCUCGUACGGACAUGAUGACGGUUCUUUCCAAUGUCGAAGCUAUUCUAGUACGAGCUUCUCAUAGCGAUAGAAUGACGGCAACAUACAUAAGCGAUAUUAGUCUCGAUACAGCGGUAGAAAAUUUCAAUGGACACAAAAGAGCGAGCCAAGUCGAAGCGUGUCGUUGUCCGCCUGGUUACCUUGGUACAUCUUGCGAAAUUUGUGCUCGCGGAUAUUAUAGAGAUACCAGUGAUAGAGCUGUCAGCGUUCUUGGCUCUUGCAAUCUCUGUCCGUGCAAUAAAAGGGAAGAAAGUUGCGAAAUUAAUAGGUCUGGAUAUGUCAAGUGUAAUUGCAUGUUAGGAUAUACGGGAGAAAAUUGUCAAGAUGUUGUCGAGUCUCCUCCGACGACUCCUCAGACAAUACCAACGAUUACACCACCAAGAAUCGUCGUUUUCGUGCAAGAGCCAGAAUUCCAAAUUGUUCAUACUGGAAAUACCAUUAGAUAUCAUUGUAGCGGUAAAUCGCUCGACAACGAUUCCUUGCGUAUUCGUUGGGAAAAAGAGGGUGGUCAGUUACCGUCUGACAGAAGCGUAGACGAUUAUCACGGAGUUUUAAUCAUUAGAGAUGUCAAAGUGUCCGACAGCGGUGUAUACGUUUGUCAAGUUAGCGACGGAACAAAUAUUGGCAUUAAAAAAGUUACUCUUACUGUGGGAGCUUUUCCAAAAAGUUUGUUAGAAAUACCAGGAGCAAAUCCGGUAAAACCUCAAGUCGUCAUUAUACCACCUUACCUCGAAGUUAAAGAAGGAGAACCGGUAGAAUUCCAUUGCGAGGCUAGUGGUAAUCCUCCUCCGCAAGUAGAAUGGAUUCGACUUCAUGGAAGUAUAAGCUCUGAGUCUUCGUUCCGUAAUGGAGUUUGGAGGCUUCCAGCUGCUUCGAGGAAUGACGCGGCCGAAUAUAAAUGCAUCGCUAGAAACAAUGUCGGAAUAAUGGAACAAAAUACGAUACUUUACGUUAGAGAGAAUCCGGAAGGGCCUCCGGCUACUGGUUUGGCACCUAUUAUAACGCCCACCGAAUGGAUUGGUUCUAUCGGAGAUGUCAUUAGACUAACUUGUACUCCAUCACAGAAUGCUAAUCUAACGUGGAUCCGAUCCGAUUUCUUACCUCUCCCUUACUCGGCGAGUCAGCGCGACGGUAUUCUGACGAUCAAUAAUCCAACGGUUAGCGAUUCCGGUAUAUAUGUCUGUAUCGCUAUCAGUUACAAAGGAACGGUAACUAAUUCUACCGCUAGAAUAACGAUCAUUCCACGAAGAGAUCCGCCGUCGGUUAAAGUCAAGCCCGAGAGACAAACAAUCUCCCAAGGAACGUCGACCGAAAUACGUUGCGUUACGAGCGGAGAACCGGGUCUACGUGUGAAAUGGAACAAAUUUUCCGAACCGAUGAAUCCGCACGUUCAACAAGUCGGUGAUACCCUUCGAAUUAUCAACGCUCAAGUUUCCGAUCGAGGCGUUUAUAUUUGUCGAGUCAGUAGUCCCAUAGGCAGCUACGAAGCUAGCGCUAUCGUCGAAGUUGAACCUCGUGAAACUCCAGUUCUAGAACUAUAUCCUAAAGAUAUUCAACCCGUCACGCUCGGUGGCUCUGCCGAUUUACAAUGUCGCGCCAUUGCUGGUCUUCCGCUUCCCGAAAUCCGUUGGUCUCGUCAAGACGGUAGAUCAUUUCCUCCAAAUAUCGAACAACUUCCUGGUGGAUUGUUAAGGUUUUCUAACAUUACGAUCAACGAUGGCGGUUCUUACGUGUGCUCGGCCACGAAUGAAGUUGGUUCGACGUCUGCAGUAGCUCAUAUCGAAGUACAAUCCAUACCCGUUAUUACGAUUGAACCAAGGUCCGGUAUUUUGCAAGUCAAACUCGGAGAUAAAGUGCGAUUAACUUGCAGCGCUAUGGGCCAUCCACAACCAAAUGUUGCCUGGAGUAAACACGUCAACGGAUUGGCCACGUACGACGCGUACAGCAGAACUGAUCUUACCCCGUUGAGCGCGGUAUACGAAAUUUUAUCCGUUUCUACCGACGACGAAGGAUCUUACUCUUGUCAAGCGUCCAAUUCGGUUGGCAUUGUCGAGGAUCGUGUUCAAAUACGCAUCGAGGACAACGAAAUUGAUUCUAUCCCUUGUAGAGGCGAUAUGCCAUGCAAUACUGGUCAAGCAAAUAACGAUAACAGAUAUCCCAAUGGCGUAUUAAUUCCUGAAGAUUUUCUAAGAAUUCCCAAUGGCGGUAAAGUAGAAAUGCGUUGUCAAGUAAGGGCACCCGACGGCGAUCAAAUUUAUCUUGACUGGAAGAGAAGCGAUCAUCGUGCCUUGCCAAAGGGUAGUACCGUUCAUAAUGGCGUUUUAAAUAUACCGGUGGUCGACAAGUAUUCCGCAGGAGAAUACAUCUGUCUUGGUUUAAAUCCCGCUGGCACGGUCAUUUUCAAAGCUAAAUCUCAUCUUGAAAUAAUAUCUCCGCCUAGAAUCGAGCUAAAUCCAACUCGUCAAACCGUUGGUCCUGGAAAAAAUCCUUCUAUAACUUGUACCGCUACCGGAGACCAACCUCUUAACAUUCAAUGGGAAGCUAUAGGACGACCACUUCCACCUUCCGUGUCUCAUGAUAACGGGGUCUUGAAAUUCCACGGUAUAACGUAUUCGGAUGCAGGCAAGUAUGUUUGCAAGGCCACGAAUGAAGCAGGCACGGCUGAAGCGGUUGCGGAAGUUAUAGUAAACGAACAUUCUUACGACGACACAAGUAUUCGUGCCGCGCAAAGAGACAUUACGACCUAUUCAGGUAAUUCUGUACGUUUGCGUUGCGACAUCAGAGAAAGUGCUGUAAUAGAAUGGACCAGAGAAGGACAAUUAUUGCCUUCGCACAGUCGAAUUGGUGAAAAUUAUUUAGAAUUAAUGCAAGUCAGACCGGAAGACAGUGGAAGAUAUAUUUGUCAAAUUCGUAAUUCUCAUGGAGUUUCCAGCGAUUACAUUAAUUUAAAUGUUCAACUAGUUAAUUUGCUUGCGGAUUGCAUGCCAGUAUACCAAACGCAGUGCAGACCCGGGGAGUAUCAGUGCUACAACAUUCAACAAUGCAUUCCUUUGGAUUACUUUUGCGACGGCUAUGCUCAAUGCAACGACGGUACUGACGAAAGCUUCUGCCGCAUCCCGCAAUAUCGCCAAUAUCUUCGAAGACUACGCGCAACUGUUACACCUGCGCUUAGCAUCGAAGCAUCUCAAGAUCCUGUAAAUAUUGGAGAUACAGUCGACAUACGUUGCGCGUGCUCGGGUACUUCUAAUCCACAAUAUAGAUGGUCCAGACCAAAUCAUUCAGAUUUACCAGCGAAUGCACAAGCAUAUGGAAAUAUUCUUAGAUUAUUGAAUGUAGCUGUUGACAAUAGUGGCAUUUACAAAUGUACAGUAAUGACUCCACAAGGCAUCUUUGAGGAAGACUUUAAUCUCAUUGUACACGGUGGAAAUAACGAUGGGCCAGCAAUGGAAACUAAGUCAGCACCUUAUGGAUCUAGUAUCGAAAUGGAUUGCCAUGUUCAAUUUGAUCCGCCUAUUACAUACAGAUGGAACAAACUUGGUGGAUUUUUAUCUGAGAAUGCACAAACUUAUCAGAACAAAUUAAAACUGGCAAAUGUUAAAGCCGAAGAUGCAGGAACAUACAUUUGUAUAGCAAACAACUAUGUAGAAAAAAUAGAAGUACCGACUGUGCUCGUUGUAACGGGAGUAGUACCAAACUUUAGUCAAGCACCAGAAAGUUAUAUAACUUUGCCUCCAUUAUCCAAUUCGUAUCUCAAUUUCAAUAUUGAAAUAUCUUUCAAACCAGAAAAUUAUGACGGCAUUAUUCUAUACAAUGCUGAAUUAAAUAACGGUAGCGGUGAUUUCAUUGUUCUAUCCCUAGUAGGAGGAUUGCCACAAUUCAAAUUUGACUUUGGUUCUGGAUCGGCUGUUAUAACGGGAGAUACGCCAAUUAAUCUGGGUCAAUGGCAUACGAUCAAAAUUCAACGCUUUAGAAGAGAAGUAACGAUGUUAGUCGAUGGUCAGGGACCUUACAGAGGGGUUUCGAGCGGUCGGAAACAAGGAUUAGAUCUUAAAGCACCGCUUUAUAUCGGUGGAGUUCCAAAGUACAAUAUCGACGUCAAAGAUGGCAUUAAUAACAUUGGAUUUAUUGGUUGUAUCAGUAGAUUGGUACUCAAUGAAAGGCAAGUAGAUUUGAUCGAAAAUCAAACGAGUAACGUUGGAAUAACGACUUGCGAAACAUGCGUCGAAAAUCCAUGUAAUAAUGGUGGAGCUUGCCAGGAGGCAGCUACAAAGAAUGGUUACAUGUGUCUAUGCAGAGCUGGAUUUACUGGUAAACACUGUGAUUUUGUUGGACAAACUUGUUAUCCAGGUGCCUGCGGUGAAGGAAAGUGUAUAGAGAAGGAGACUGGUUUCGAUUGUUACUGCCCACGUGGAAAAAUUGGUCCACGUUGCGAACGAUCGGUGAAAAUAAAUCAACCAGCUUUUAACGAUGACAAAGCUUUCAUGGCAUACGAUACACCGCCAAAAUCUCUUCGAAGGCUUAAAAUAUCUAUGAACUUCAAUCCUAUCGACGAAGGAGAUGGGAUCUUGAUGUAUUGUUCCCAAAGCGAAGAAGGAGUUGGAGAUUUUGCAGCGCUUAUAAUAAAAAACAAGCACGUUGAAUUUUGCUUCGAAAUGGGCUCGGGUGUGGCUACGUUAAGAUCUAAUUACAUCGUACAGCCUGGAACAUGGACAUACGUUACGAUAAAUAGAGACUUCAAAGAAGCCAAAUUAUCCGUUAAUGGAGAACCAUUUAUCGAGGCAAGAUCUCCUGGUAUCGCACGUAUCAUGCAACUGACUACACCCUUAUACAUUGGUGGCAUUGAUCGUAGAAAAAUAACAUUGAAUAAAAAUCUUACUGUUGAUCGUAGUUUUCGUGGAUGCAUUAGCGAACUUGAAGUAGCUUCCGUUAGCCUGGAGAUUGUAAAAUCGACGCUGGAUAUGGCAAAUAUCGAAGAUUGCUCUACGCUGCAUCCGAAUCAAACGAUUCCACGUACUAAGCUCGUUACCCCUCCACCCACAACAAAUCCGCCGACAACUUUGUACGAUUCGUGCACAUCGAAUCCUUGCAUACACGGGUUUUGUCAGAGUUUAGGUUCAAGCGAAUAUUCCUGUACGUGCGAGUAUGGAUAUGCAGGAAGAAAUUGCGAAAAUGUAUUGAAACAGUGCGAGGUAUAUACGCCUUGUAGAAACGGUGGUACUUGCACCGAUCUACCUGGAUCUUACAAAUGCGACUGUAGGCUUGGCUUUAAUGGCCAAACUUGUGAAAAAUUGGCAGAGAUCACUUAUGACAUCGCGUUUAAAGGAGAUGGCUGGUUAGAAUUGGACAGAUCGGUAAUGACGCACGAAGAAGAACGCGAAGUCUUGGGUUUCGAGAUAUCGACGAAUAAAACUAAUGGUUUAAUCAUGUGGCAUGGGCAAACGCCAAAUGAUUUAAAUCCCGAUGACUAUAUAUCUUUGGCAGUUGUCGAUGGCUAUGUAGAAUAUCAAUAUAAUUUAGGAUCAGGGCCAGCAGUUAUUCGCGUAACGGCUCAAAGAGUCGACGACGGGGAAAGACAUAGAAUCAUUUUAAAAAGACAAGGUAGCGAUGGUAGCAUCGAAUUAAACGGCGAGCACACGGAAAGCGGACUGAGCGAGGGAUUACAACAAAUUUUGAAUACCAGAGGCAGCGUAUAUUUAGGAGGUGUACCUGAUUAUGCAAUGACGUAUGGACGUUACCACGAAGGAUUUUCCGGUUGUAUUUACACUCUGGAAGUACAAGAUUCGGGAGCCAUCGAUAUAGGAGAAAAAGCUAUUAGAGGAAAAAACGUUUCUCCGUGCACCAGAGUGAGAUGGAUUCCAUCUUCGUUGGUAUUUACGGACGCAGAUGCAGAUAUUUUUGACGCAUUUGUACCCCCACCUCCUGUAAAUAUUAUUCAUCCUAAACCUGCUGCAAAUGUAGCCACACGUAAUAUUACAAAUUAUUUACUAUUGAUCGUGUUACAACACCUGAUUGCGAUGAAACUAGAAAGUAGAAAUGUCAUCGUUAUUCAUACACUUUUUUACGUAGGUGCUAUUAAUAUAGCGAAAAAUUCGUUAAUUUAAGUAGGCAAAUACAUUUGAAUUUAUACAAUUUAUACGGUAUACUUAUAUUCCAAGUUUGUACUAAUGCAUAAAUGCUUGUAAUAUUUGUAUUUCCGUCAUUUUCAAAGAAAUGUGUCGAUAAUUAAUAAAUUUAUUAAUUAUUUAAUGCUUUAUCAACGCAAUCUGGAUAAAUCUGACCAAAGCAUGUGAUCCAGUUGACAACAUUUCUAUGCAUGGUGAUCUGCUAAGAAGACAUUAAGAGAUCUCUUCUCAUAUGAUACGAUCCUAUCUCAUUUUCCACCAAAAUUUAUCAAAUGUUUUAACGUUCUUUAUACUACACUCCGUUUGGCAAAAAAAAAACUAUAAACUCGUUUACCA